rnacentral:rRNA from 1 species
UACAGAGGUCUCAAGCGUUGUUCGGAUUCAUUGGGCGUAAAGGGUGCGUAGGCGGCGCGGUAAGUCGGGUGUGAAAUCUCGGAGCUUAACUCCGAAACUGCAUUCGAUACUGCCGUGCUUGAGGACUGGAGAGGAGACUGGAAUUUACGGUGUAGCGGUGAAAUGCGUAGAGCUCGGGAAGAACAUCGGUGGCGAAAGCGCUCUGCUGGACUGCAACUGACACUCAGGGACGAAAGCUAGGGGAGCGAAUGGG